GGGAUAUUAGCUCAGUUGGUAGAGCACUUGACUUUUAAUCAAGUUGUCCGGGGUUCGAAUCCCCGAUGUCUCAUCA
rnacentral:tRNA from 1 species